rnacentral:rRNA from 1 species
GGGGGGUGGCGGCGGCUACCAUGCAAGUCGAGCGAGAAGCACUUCGGUGCGAGUAGAGCGGCGGACGGGUGAGUACCCCUUAGGAAUCUACCUGGUAGUGGGGGACAACUCGGGGAAACUCGUAGCUAAUACCGCAUACGCCCUUCGGGGGAAAGCGGGGGAUCUUCGGACCUCGCGCUAUUGGAUGAGCCUGCGUCGGAUUAGCUUGUUGGUGAGGUAAAAGCACACCAAGGCGACGAUCCGUAGCUGGUCUGAGAGGAUGAUCAGCCACACUGGAACUGAGACACGGCCCAGACUCCUACGGGAGGCAGCAGUGGGGAAUAUUGCGCAAUGGGCGAAAGCCUGACGCAGCCAUGCCGCGUGUGUGAAGAAGGCCCUAGGGUUGUAAAGCACUUUCAAUAGGGAAAAAAGGCGUACGGUUAAUACCCGUGCGAGUUGAUAUUACCUAUAGAAGAAGCACCGGCUAACUCCGUGCCAGCAGCCGCGGUAAUACGGAGGGUGCGAGCGUUAAUCGGAAUUACUGGGCGUAAAGCGCGCGUAGGCGGUCUGUUAAGUCAGCUGUGAAAGCCCCGGGCUUAACCUGGGAACUGCAGUUGAUACUGGCAGGCUAGAGUACGAGAGAGGGAGGUAGAAUUCCAUGUGUAGCGGUGAAAUGCGUAGAUAUAUGGAGGAAUACCAGUGGCGAAGGCGGCCUCCUGGCUCGAUACUGACGCUGAGGUGCGAAAGCGUGGGUAGCAAACAGGAUUAGAUACCCUGGUAGUCCACGCCGUAAACGAUGUCUACUAGCCGUUGGGUGACUUGAUUGCUUAAUGGCGCAGCUAACGCAGUAGGUAGACCGCCUGGGGGGUACGGGCGCAAGGGUUAAACUUCAAA